GUGCUCGCUUUGGCAGUACAUAUACUAAAAUCGAACGAUACUGAGAAGAUUAGCAUGGCCCCUUCACAAGGACGACACGCAAAUUUGUGAAGCAUUCUGUAUUUUU